rnacentral:rRNA from 1 species
UACGGAGGGUGCGAGCGUUGUCCGGAAUCAUUGGGCGUAAAGGGCGCGUAGGUGGCGGGACAAGCGUGCGGUGAAAGCCUGGGGCUCAACCCCGGGUCGGCCGUGCGAACUGUUUUGCUUGAGCACUGUAGAGGCAGGCGGAAUUCCGGGUGUAGCGGUGGAAUGCGUAGAGAUCCGGAAGAACACCGGUGGCGAAGGCAGCUCGCUGGGACGGUACUGACGCUGAGGCGCGAAAGCGUGGGGAGCAAACAGGG